GUAAAUCUCAACCAGUUUUCAGAGCAGUCAAGGGCUCAGGUUGCAGAAGGAACAAUGUGAUUAUGAUGGGCAUGAAGCAGAACAGGACAAGUUCCAGCAAAAACUCCACAGAAUGUAAUAGCAAAUGUUGUGCUUGGUGUAGAUCUCUAAUAGGUCAUUUAAAAAAUAUAACAAGAUUCAUUCUACAAAUACAAUAAACUCCUAGAGCUGUUUCUAUAGAAUUGUGGUAGGAUUUUCCUAUACAAAUACUUGUCUGUGCCCUGCAUCACCCCGAGCACAGUUCUACAAAAAUACCUGCACAAAUAAUGAUGUCAAGGAGGAGAUACAGAGAAGUAGAACUUCUUUUUCUCUCCCACCUUCAUCAGCUGCAGUAUCUCACUAUCAGUUAAAGCUGGCAGAGAGAUCAGUGACAAGUGCCAAGAGAUAAGGAAGACACAGACUGCUGAGGACAACUUUGAGAAGUAUCUCCUGUGAAGGAUCUGCUCCAGAGCUGACUUAGAUUCUUCUUUGUCAAGGCAGAGGCUAAACUUCGGAGUCGUGUCAAGGCUAUUUUUAUGAUACUAAGAUCUCCCUGGGAAUUUAUGAGACUCUCUCUUUGGAUUUAAAUUAUCUCUUCAGGAAAUGUGGGUUAUAGAUCAGUCAUUUGAAGCCAGCUGACCUCAGUCACCUUCAGUGACAGGUCACUUGUGCUGUGUCCAGUCCAGUUGAACCCUUCAAAGAUGGAGAUUCUGCAAGUUCUGCUGAGUGCUGAUUGCUGUAACGCAUGUAUGAAGAUACCUGGGAACAAGAAGAUAUUUACUGAGAAUAAAGAUCCCAGUUCAACAUGACACUCUUCACAAUCCCACACUUGGACUGACCCUGUUCUAUCUUGGUUAACCCAGGAAAGCUGCACCCAGUUGUUUUAGGAGUUAAUCUGUAGCUUCGCUGCAAGGGACUGGCUCAGAAGGCCCAGAAGGUUUAAAUAGCCUCAUGAAAGCAUGAGGGCUCCAGCUUUUCUCUGUGAUUCACCCAGUUUGGACAUCAGAGAGCACCGAAGUCAAGAGGUUCAGACAGAAAAUACUAAUGGAUAAACUGUUAUAAAUAAGACUUCACAGUGACAUAUUAGAGAAUCAUAUGUUGUAAACUGAAAAGAGUAGGAUUGGAUUCAGCACAUGGCAGAAAAAUGCAUGCUUAUGUGAAGAGAAGCUCCAAAGCUCUUCAGGUUAGUUUUGCUUUAUCUGUACAUGCCAAGAAACACCAGGC